GACGAACGCUGGCGGCGUGCUUAACACAUGCAAGUCGAACGGAAAAGCCCUGCUUUUGUGGGGUGCUCGAGUGGCGAACGGGUGUGUAACACGUGAGUAACCUGCCCUUGACUUUGGGAUAACUUCGGGAAACUGGGGCUAAUACCGGAUAGGAGCUCCUGCUGCAUGGUGGGGGUUGGAAAGUUUCGGCGGUUGGGGAUGGACUCGCGGCUUAUCAGCUUGUUGGUGGGGUAGUGGCUUACCAAGGCUUUGACGGGUAGCCGGCCUGAGAGGGUGACCGGCCACAUUGGGACUGAGAUACGGCCCAGACUCCUACGGGAGGCAGCAGUGGGGAAUAUUGCACAAUGGGCGGAAGCCUGAUGCAGCAACGCCGCGUGCGGGAUGACGGCCUUCGGGUUGUAAACCGCUUUCGCCUGUGACGAAGCGUGAGUGACGGUAAUGGGUAAAGAAGCACCGGCGAACUACGU
rnacentral:rRNA from 1 species